CAACAAUGAUGGCUGCAACCAAAAAAUAGCCAGGCAUUGUGGCAGGUGCCUGUAAUCCCAGCUACUUAGGAGGCAGAGGCAGGAGAAUCACUUGAACCCAGGAGUUGGAGGUUGCUGUGAGCUAUGAUGCCAGAGCACUCUACCCAGGGUGACAGCUUGAGGCUCUGUCUCAAAAAAAAAAAAAAAAAGAAAAAGAAAAAGAAAUACUCCCAGGGACAUUGGACAGUGGGAGGCAGGAGCCUCCACUGGACAGAAGCUUCUUCCCCAUAUACGCCUGUUCAGUGUGCUUCUACAGGGCUCUCUCUGGGCUGUUUGGCCAAAUUUGGGACCAAGGGAAGGGAGCUUGAUAAAGUUUUCAAGUUCCUGCAUCCAUAGCAUUUGUGGUCAGCCUUUCCCCUCUACCUCCCUUGCCUGAUCCACUCCCCUGAACUCCACUUGCCCAGGUGCUCCCUUGCCCCAGACCUACUAGCUGGGACCCUGCCAGUUCUGGCCUCUCCCUGCCACUUUUCCUGUCACUGGACCAACCCAACUUUCUACAGCAUCCCCAGAGACCAUUUAGGAGUUUGGAAAACAGGGCAGGAAAGGGAGGGAGGAAAAAGUACCAAAAAGUCAACAAAACAGAACAAAAACAAUAACCAUGACAACAAAAAACCAAAACUGAAAUAAAAAUCAAAAAUCAGAAAAUCAAAUGGCGAAAAGGGAAAAGGCAAAAAGAAAAGAAAAAGUGAAAAAAGAAAAGAAAAGAAAAGAAAAAUGCCCCAGAAUAAAGCAAGGCUCAACAAGACCAGGAGAGAGGGCAGUGUGGGGGGAGGCCUUGGGCUUCUGGAAAGAAAAGAAGCUCCUUUGGGGGUAGCCACAGAGCCCUGAACAGCUGGCCUUUGGGCUAGAAAUGGAAUGUUGUACCUCAAAAACAGAAACAAAAUUUUAAAAAUUGGGCCCCUAUUGUUUGGAAAUUUCUAAAAACUAUACAGAAAUCAUAGGGCCCAAAAUUGCCCCACCAAUCCAAUUGUUAAAAAUGCCAGUGCCUUCCACUCUGGCCAGUCUCUGUGGCCAGAGACGGUUCCUUCUGAUUGGCAGCAGGUAACUGUCUUUGGCGCAUGAAAACCAAGAAAACAAUCACUUCUUAGUAAAAGCAGCCUGUCUAUUUAAUAGUAUACUCUUUCAAAAUAUAAAGGUCACAAUGGAAAAAAGUUUAAGAGUAGCGAUGUGGUCCCACCCCUCUGUGUUGGAGAUGGGAACAUUGAGGAAGGCUCAGAACAGAGGUACACAGUGUGUCAGAAGUGGCCACAGCCUUUCUGGUCAAGCCUUGCUCCGGCCAGAGUCCCCCAGCAGGGUGGGAGGCUCAGGCAGGGCUGGGGAGCAAAAUUUUUAAAAAGAAAAAGAAAAAAAAAAAAGGAGGGGAAGAAAGAAAAGAAAAA